rnacentral:rRNA from 1 species
GCACAAGCGGUGGAGCAUGUGGUUCAAUUCGACGCAACGCGAAGAACCUUACCUGGGCUCGAAGCGUAGUGGACCGCGGUAGAAAUACCGUUUUCCCGCAAGGGACCGCUACGUAGGUGCUGCAUGGCUGUCGUCAGCUCGUGUCGUGAGAUGUUGGGUUAAGUCCCGCAACGAGCGCAACCCUUAUUGCCAGUUGCCAUCAUUCAGUUGGGCACUCUGGCGAAACCGCCCCGGAUAACGGGGAGGAAGGUGGGGAUGACGUCAAGUCCUCAUGGCCUUUAUGUCCAGGGCUACACACGUGCUACAAUGGUUGGUACAAACCGUCGCAAACCCGCGAGGGGGAGCUAAUCGGAAAAAGCCAAUCCCAGUCCGGAUUGGAGUCUGCAACUCGACUCCAUGAAGCUGGAAUCGCUAGUAAUCGCGGAUCAGAACGCUGCGGUGAAUACGUUCCCGGGC